rnacentral:rRNA from 1 species
UGAUAUUUAACGAAAGUGGCGAACGGGUGAGUAACACGUGAGCAACCUGCCUUACACAGGGGGAUAGCCAUUGGAAACGGUGAUUAAUACCCCAUAAGACCACAAUACCGCAUGGUAAAAGGGUAAAAGGGAUACCGGUGUAAGAUGGGCCCGCGUCUGAUUAGCUAGUUGGUGGGGUAAAGGCCUACCAAGGCGACGAUCAGUAGCCGGUCUGAGAGGAUGAACGGCCACAUUGGAACUGAGACACGGUCCAAACUCCUACGGGAGGCAGCAGUU